rnacentral:lncRNA from 1 species
CACAUAAUCGUCUAAUCGCAACAUUGGCGUCCACAGAUCUCACUCCUCCCGUCAUCAUGAAAUACGCUAUCGCAUUCCUUUGCCUCGUCCUUGCCGCGUCGGCCCUUGCUGAGGAAAAAAGAUUCAUCAUUGACGACCUCGAGAAGGAGGCUGCUAAGAUCUUGCAAUGUGAGGCUACCCUUAACCAGGCAGUAUGUGAGGACUGUUGUGCAUCCACCCAAUGGUACCACCCAUCCGAGGGCACAGCCUGUACUAAAGCCUGUGGCAUUUUGCCCUGAACACCGUGAAGCUUGUUAAGCUGAGAGAGCAGACAUCCUGAUACAAGCUGUAAGAUCAAUGAACGUGUAUUCAUGUCUUGCCACGAAUAAACGUAACGGGAGGGGAAAAAGUCCGACCUACA